AGGUCCCCCCUGUGGUCUGAGGUCUCAUGCUCUUAUAUCGAAUUAUUACAAUCUUUUUGAUGGUCCUUGAGAUCUCUCUACGGUUUUUGUUUGGGGUAGUUUCCUAUCCUGUAGAGACAGUAUAUAAUAAUCAGCGUUUUGUUAAUACUGUUCACUUGGAUCUUGGGGGAAAACUGCCUGAAUACCCGCAGGUCAAGGGGAAUUCCGGUUUUCCUUGCAAACUCCAUCAGGGAUUCAUAUUAAGCCACAGACCGGAGGCAACGAGUUCUGUCCCUAAAUAUGUUCGACGUUGCUCUUCCCUUCCGAAAGGUUUAGAACUGGGGUUGAAGCAGACAGACUGAUAACAGGAGUAAAUAUGUAGUGAACCAGCAUGGAAUGGGGCUGGAAGCUACUGUAUCAAACAGGCUGUUCUUUGGCAACUGAAGGACAGCUCCAUUGGCUGCAAGCUGUGCAAGUUGCAACGCUAAAGAAUCUGCCAUUAUUGCUAUAAAGGAGAAGCCACCAAGAUCGUGGUGAUGUGGCUCUGUCUGGCUGUCAUGGCUCCUCGAGGCAGUCCCACUACUAUGUCAAAAUCCUUGUCAUAUGUCUUGUAACUCAGGGAGUCCCAGUGAUGUAGAUGGGUGAAAUCUCAUCAGUCAGCCUUGCCUAUUUCAGCCACAUUUCUUCAGGCUUUGCCUAUGCUAAUGAGGCACAAGUUAAAGGGAAAUUUUGGUUAUGUUUUAUUAUACUUAUUUUCACUUUAUAAGUUCUCAGAAUAAAAAUUUAAAAAGGGUUUCCUAGAACUACCAAGAAUUAUCAGUGAGAUUUCUUCUUUUUAAGGCUUUCUUUUUGUGUGUCAUUAUGACCUCAGAUUUUUAUAUAUUGGAUGCUUUUAAUACAAUUACUGCUCAUUAAAAACAAUUUAUCUCACUAAGCAGAGCACAUACACAACAAUGCAUUAUACAGAUGUACAGCUUAAUGAAUUUCUAGGCAAACACCCUUGUACAGAACUUUGCCAACUUUCCUUACUCCCUAAGAGUUAACCGUGGUUUAAUUUUAUUCACAUAGAAAGAAAAGCUAGAUAAUUUGGGCCUUCAUCCCUUCCAGUGGGGAUAUUCAAGUCUAUAUUCAGUAGCAUGGAUGUAUCAGGGAGUGGAAGUGAGCAGAACUUGUAGGAACAGCCUGGGAGUCCACACAAGUGCUGGUUCACCAAACAUUGGAGAGAACAAGAAGUUGGAAGAGAAGCUGAACAAGCCACAAGCCAGUGGUGAGCCACUUUCCUUCUGCUCCCAAGUUCUGGAGGAAAAUAUUUCAAUAUUCAAUUAUCUUCUAUUAUAUGUUAUAAAAUGAUCAUAGUAGAUGAUAGAUACCUUUUAAAUAACUUUUCUUAGAACAUUAAA